UACGUAGGGGGCGAGCGUUAUCCGGAAUCACUGGGCGUAAAGCGUGCGUAGGCGGUGCAGUAAGUUGGAAUUGAAAGCCCGGGGCUCAACUCCGGACCCGGUUCCAAAACUAUUGUACUAGAGCGGAUCAGAGGACAGCGGAAUUCCCGGUGUAGCGGUAAUAUGCGUAGAUAUCGGGAGGAACACCAGUGGCGUAGGCGGCUGUCUGGGGUGUUGCUGACGCUGAGGCACGAAAGCCAGGGGAGCGAACGGG
rnacentral:rRNA from 1 species